AAUUAGAUAGCAUAAGAGAUGGUGAAAUAAUUAAAGUUGGACACCCCAAAAUUGUGACAUGUCAAGCUUUGUGCUGCGGCAACACCACUUUAAGGAAUGUGUCUGCCCCGGGCUUCAUCAAAUAUAUUCGCUAUGCUUAACUUCGGACGCCUUCGUUUAAAAUUCACCCCGCCCCGUUUACUGUAGUUUAAUACAAUUUGUUACAGGUUUUCUUUUCUGUUUCAUUAUGUCUUCCAGUUUGGGGGGAUGGGGGCGUUUGCGAGACGUGUACGCCCAACAGCCUAAUAUUUUCAGAACACAAGAUCGGAUCACCGCCGAAAAGGAGGCGGAAAAGAAAACGGGAAGCCGGGGGAGGGGGAGAGAGAGAGAAAGCGGAGAAAAGAGUUCCCUUCUCUUCGCAAACAAAAAAAAAAUCAAAAUAAACAGUCUUGUCAAUUACUCAAUCUGAUUGAGUUGAGGCCUCAACGUCCAAGUAACGUCGAGUAGUUCCGACCCCCUUCAGGAGGAAAUGCCAACAACAGUUGCUGAUGGAUUAUUGUGACCAGUCCGUCUCAACGUAGAAACGAAUUGCGUCAGAAAAUGCGCUCAUUUCCUUGCCUACUAGUCCCACGUUUAAUUUGUCUUUCUGUCAAUCUUUAUAGGGGAUGUGUCACCUUCUCGCUCCUUUUCAACUCUCCUUGUUUGACUACGGUGCAAAAAAGAAACAUCAAUGACUACAAGGGCCAUUUGAGGGGCCUUCAGUGCCUAUUUUAAUUUCCCUUUCAACUCUCCCCGCUUGAACUACCUGCUGGAGACCUGUAUCCCUUUACUGCACUUGUCAAUCAUUUCAACCUGGAAUUCAAUGAUCUCGAUCCAAUUCCCUUCGAAGCAAUUGACUUGAGAUCAGAGGCACCAUCACACCAACGUAAAUAAAUUUCUGUCUUACCCUAGCCUUCUUGCGUUUCUAAUUAUUCCCUCAAAGAGCCUCGGUUUUUCAAAUAUCAGCUAAAACAUCGACUUAGAAUGGGUACAGAAACUGCUUUGCUUGUUUAAUUUGUCAGUGUCAUUCCUUUGUGUAUUCAUGACAAAAAUGGAUGCUGGCCAUUUGGACCAGUCUAUGUGUACUUGCUACAUGCGCUAAACGUGCCUGUCGAGUUCCAGCAUAACUUUUACUUCAAUCACUUAUCCAACUUAUUUUUAAAUGUGAACAUAAUCUCUGGUGUACCUGCAUUGCACAGCAUCACAAACUUCUGUUCCUCAUUCCUUCUCCUAUUAUCUCAUGGUUUCAACAAUGACAAGUUUAUUUCUAUUUAACUGUUCCCAUUUCUUUAAACAAUUUAAACAUCUCUACAUCUCAUGCUCUGAUUCCAUCUGUUCUAGAAAAGUUGGAAACAUUUUGUAAAACGUUCUUUGUAUUUCCUUCUACUGGGUAGCAUGAUAAUAAUUCUUACUGCUGUCAGCUGUGGCUUAGUAAGUAGCAUAUUUAACUGUGAAUCAGCAUUUGAGUAUUGCCGCAAAAACUUGAGCAUGAGAAGUGGCACUCUGUUGCAGUGAUAGAAACUGCUCGACUGAGAUUGUGCCCAUCUUUUAAGCGAAAUACCUAACUGAGGUCUUCUGCCUUCACAAGUAGAUAUAAAGUAUUCCAUUCCAUUUCAUUUCAUUUGAGAACAAAGUAGUUCUCCCCAGUUUCUUGUCCAAUAUUUAGUUAUUGUCAUCAUCACUGGAAUUGAAUACCUAACCAUGACCACAUUGCUGCAUAUGGACAAGUGUGCACUUUUGCUGUUUUUACUUUAAUUAAAGACUCUUCAUACUCUCAUUUCAUUUAAACCUCCUUACUCAUUCUUGUUUGUGUCAUGUCCAUAGGUUUCAUGUGUCUUUUUUCAAUUUAAGUUUGUUUUUCACCUCUAUUUAUAUAGAGAAUUGUGAAGCAUGCAUUGUCUCCAAUACAAUGGUUUCGAUAUUUUCUAAUGAACAUGUUUAGAGAUGUUAUAUUUCAUGGUCACUGCAUCAAAGGUGCUGAUCCACAUGUAAUUUAUCCAGCUAAUCACAGCCAGCUGAUUUGAUUUUUUUGUCUGUUUAAACUGUGACUUUGAACAUUAAAAAUUCAGUUGUUGAGAAGAGUUGAGUGAAGAAAAAUAUUUAGAAAGCAUUUUGAGCAAUUUGUUGGAACAUAGUCGGUCAGGUUACACACUCAAACAACGUUUGUCAUAGAAUGUAAUAUUCAUAGAGUCACAAAAGCAUCAUGAUGCCAAAGAAGGCCCCUUGGCACAUUGUGCCUAUACUGGCUUUAAAAAUGAGCACCAUUACCUAGUGCCAAUCUCCUGCUUUUUCCUCAUACCUUACAAAUUAUUUUAUCCAAUGCCCUCUUGAAUGCCUCAAUCAAACCAGUCUCCAUCUCACCUCUGGGCAAUUCAUUGCAGACCCUAACUACUCGCUAAGUAACUACUUUACCCUUGCUUUAUUUGCAGACAUUUUAAAUCCAAACCAUCUUGUUCUUGUUCGUUUUACAAGUGGGAACAGUUUCUCCAGAUCUACUGUAUCUAGCCCACUCACGAUUUUGAAAGAAUCUAUCAGAUCUUCCCUUAGCUUACUUCUCUCCAUGGAGAACAUGUGCAUCUUCUUCAAGCUAUGCUCAUAAUCUGAAGUUCCUUACCUGUGGAAACAUUAUGUAAACUGUUACUGCACUCUCCCCAAUGUGUUCACAUGCUUCCUAUAAAGUGACAUCUGGAGCUGUACACAGUAAUCCAGAUGAGAUCUAACAAAUGUCUUAAGCAAGUUCAGCAUCACCUCCUUGCUCUUGUAUUCUGAUGUGCGUAAUAAUAAAGCUGAGGAUUCUGUUUGUGAA